CUCACUGAUCCACGGCCAGCCCCAGGGUCAGCUGAACAGCAGUGAGCAUGCCCAAUAGCAGAUUGUUAGGCAUCGGGGUGAUUUCAACUUCAGAUAUUUAGGUGUGUAGGGGCUUUAGACACCUACACAGCUAGGCAGCCACUGAGUGGUGGUUUGUGGAUUGGCAGCAUCUAACCAUCAGAUUCAGGUACCUAAAGUGAAAGUAGUGGCCAGGCACCUAAAUCUUUUUUUGGAUCUAGCCCCUGGUGCCUAGCUUGCUUUGAACACCCUACUGGGCCCUUAUCUGCAUCGUCAGGUGCCUGAUACCUUUAAAAACCCAACCCUACAUCAUUUUGGAAAAUAUGCUUUUGAAAAACUUACCCAAACUCUAACAGCCUUUAAAAAUGAGUAUCCCAGGAGAUAUCCCUCCAAUUCACCCCAUCACUCUCAAAUAACACAGAACCUAAACACCACAUUUUCCUGUCCCUGCUCCAAAAUUUAGAAUCUAUUUAAUUCUGGUCUCUAAGGGAGUCAGAGUACAAAAAGUAAUUUUUUUUUCUUUGCAUAACCUGGAGCAAUUUGAGAUUAUGUGGGAAUGAGACAAUCUCUCCCCAAAGGGGGAACUCAGUGACUAAGAAUCACUCUGCUAAUGGGGGGAAGAGAACAUAUAAGAUGUUUGGGGUCAGUCUAGACUAGGACAAGUGCAGGGGGGAGGGGGAGUUCAGGGGAGAUUUGCUAGCUAAUCUCCACAACCUUUCCCAACACAGACGGACCCUCGGAGGCUGAUGCUGAGGAGGCAGAGGUGGGAUCCCAAAGCCUCCCACAAGUCCCUGUGGAAAUCAGCCCCUCAGUGGAGCUUUCUGAAUACAGAAGGGGUAUCAACCCCCACUGUCAGCAGAGGAUAAAGUCAAGGCAAAAUUUCAUUACACCACAACAUGAAUGAAGAUGGAAAUGUUUGAGUCAGAAGUCAGAAAUAAAGAUGUCAUAGAAUGAAUGUCCGACACGUCUGAAAUUGAAAGAUGAAUUGGAACAUCUUCUGAAAGCUUUUGAAAUCUCUAAAAAGGAAGCAAUAUCUGGAUGAAGGAAAGCUUAAAAAAGGAAUGGACCAAUUUCUGAUUCAUUCACAGAUGGGCCACAUCUCCAUAAGAAAGAAAACAUACCAGACUACUGGGAACAUCUGAAAAAUGUCAUGCCCAAGCUGAAUCAACUAGCAAAAAUUGUACUGGCAGUUCCACUAACACAAGUGAGUGUUGAAAGAAAAAUUCCAGGCCUCAGAUGUAUCCUUUCACUGCAGAGGUCUAAUAUGGCCAAGCAAAGACAUUAUUUUAGGUUGCUCAAACAAAUUGUGCAUGAAAAAAAAAAUCUUGUUAAUUUCACAACACAAAAGCACUAGGAAAACUCAAGUAAUGGUAAAGUAGAAAACAAACAAACAGCCAAUAUUCAAAACAUUUUACAUUUUAAGUUGCAGCUCUCUUUUUUGAAUUUACCUCCACUAAGCCUGAAAUAGGAUUUAAACUGGUAUCUGAACUUUUAUUUGUGUUUCUUUAGGUGGCUAGAACCAGAAAUGAAACUGAACAGAUUGAAUGGAACUAAACCAACCAAAAUAAAUACCAGUUGGAUUCCU